AUGUCUUCAGACGCAGUCCCGUGCCGUUUGCUCAUUGUUUGGAAGAAUAAUAGUUUGGAACAGAAGUUUCUUCAGCCUUUUGUUUUGGAGCUGGCUUUUCUCAAAGUUUCUUUGAUAAAUCAUGAAACCACUGAGUUAAUUUUUGAUUAGGGGCAUAUUUAGGAAGCAUUUCAAAUGAGAAAGGAAUUUGUUGCCUAGAUCUGCUGCGCUUUGAUGUGUUGGUCGGCAGUAACCGUAACCUCUGUUUUCCCUCUGCCAGCUGAGAAGAAGACUCCUUCCUAAGUUUUCCUCUUUUUAAUAUUGCCCUACAGCCUUGGGAAGGGGCUCUGCAGCCCUCCUGUUGCUCCUGCUGGCUGUGGCAGGUCUCAGCACAGAGCUUGUCCAUGCAGGGAGCUUGCUCUGACCAAAACUGGGGGUGAAUUUUAAAUAGUUUUGGUUUUUUUCUUUAGCAGAGAGCGUGGGUGGUUUAUUCUGGAAUACCAGUGCCUUGUUCAGAUUCUUUUAAUCUGCUUGGAAAGGGGAGUGAGGCAUUGUUAUUCUGGAUUGAGUCCCCAGAGAAAGAAAGGGAUGAUCAGGAGCUGGGAAUGGCUGAGAAAGGAGCCUAAAUGCUUUCAAAAUCUGAACCUGCUCAGCUGUGGAAGGUGUUGGACUGCUGCAGGUGGCCGGGCAGCAAAGCCUGGGGCUCUGGCUCUCCCCCCCACACCCCUUCCUCCCUUGGGGGCUCCUUUAGGCAUCCCAUUGUGGUUUCUUUGGGUUUCACUUGGGGGGGAAAAAAACCCCUAAUGAAGCUCUGAGUCCUUGUGAAGUGUUUAGGUUUUGAUCUGGAAGGUUAGAAGGUUUCCUCUGGAUCUGUGCCCAGGCACUUUUCUCCUUCUCUGCCCACUGAUGACCAGAGACCCAACAGCCACCAUGUCCUUCCUUCAGCACCAAACACCCAACAGCACCAAACCUUCCUUCUCUUUGCACAGGGACUGACCACAGGGCUGUGCAGCCAGAAGCUUCUGUACAGGCCCAGCUGUACAUCUGAGUCCAGUUCCCUCAAGGGUGCCAGCUUAUUGUUUUCCCCCAUAUUUCAAAUAUUUAUCUUUUUUUUCCAAAGACAAGGUAAGUCUCAGAGCACAUGUGUGACACUUGCCUGGUGUGACUGGCUCUGCAGCCAGCCCUUGCACCGUGCUCCUUGGUGCCAUCCCAGGUUUUUAGUGCCAAUAGGUGUGUGUAAGCCACACUCAAGUGUUCCUGGGUGUUCACCUUCUGUUGUAGAGGGAAAUUGUUCCAGUGUCACCCAGCCGGGUUUCUGUUGUAGAUCGUGGUGAUUGUCAACUGCCAAGGGAUAUUUUUAAAUAAAUCUUACCAAGGCAUUUCAAAUAAA